CGCUGCGCCAGUGGUCCCGCUCACCUUUAAACCCUUCCCGCAGCCAGAGCGUGGCCCAGGGAAGACAAAAGAUGAGACACCCCUGCUUUGAAACAACCUCAUGAGGGGGGGUGUUUUUCAGAUGCUGGUCACCAUAGAUGCUGGUCACCACCAUGCCCUUUCAUAAGUGUCCUUACAAAAGGAGGAAAUCAGGACAGAUACAUCCAGAGGGAAGACGCUAUGAAGACACAGAGAAGAGGGCCAUCUAUGCCAAGGAGAGGGGUAGGAAGCAAAUUCUUCCCACACACACCUCGGAGGAACCAACCCUGCUGACACCUUAAUUUUGGACUUCCAGCUUCCAGAACUGUGAGAUAAUAAAUUUUAGUUGUUUAAGCUACUCAGCAUGUGGUGUUUUGUUACAGCAACCCUAGCAAACUGAUACACCAGUGCUCUGCAUAGGACCUCAACAUUUCCUUUUCCUUUUUUUUUAAUGAGAGAGAAUUCAUAUGUGGCAUGGUAAAAACAAGUGCGCAGGAAUUUCAC
rnacentral:lncRNA from 10 species